rnacentral:rRNA from 1 species
CGGCGAAAGUCGGAUUAAUACCCCAUAAAACAGGGGUCCCGCAUGGGAAUAUUUGUUAAAGAUUCAUCGCUGAUAGAUAGGCAUGCGUUCCAUUAGGCAGUUGGCGGGGUAACGGCCCACCAAACCGACGAUGGAUAGGGGUUCUGAGAGGAAGGUCCCCCACAUUGGUACUGAGACACGGACCAAACUCCUACGGGAGGCAGCAGUGAGGAAUAUUGGUCAAUGGCCGAGAGGCUGAACCAGCCAAAGUCGCGUGAAGGAAGAAGGAUCUAUGGUUUGUAAACUUCUUUUAUAAGGGGAAUAAAGUGGAGGACGUGUCCUUUUUUGUAUGUACCCUAUGAAUAAGCAUCGGCUAACUCCGUGCCAGCAGCCGCGGUAAUACGGAGGAUGCGUGCGUUGUCCGGAUUUAUUGGGUUUAAAGGGUGCGUAUGUGGUGAUUAAAGUCAGCGGUGA